UGGUUGGUUCUACCAUUUUGCAAACCCUGGUGAUGUUUCUUACACUAAAUGUCUUGAACUACUAAAUAUGCAUUUAUUUUCAUUCUUUUAGCUUGUUUAGUACAUUGCAACCUUGAAUACAGGUCUUUGGUAUCUUUAAUACUGUAAUUAAACCAGUUUGUACUUUUAGUGUACAGAGCAUAACUCAAACAGUAAUCACUGAAGUCUGAAGUACCAGUAUAAUGUAAAUACAUGUAUGAAUGCACUUCGUUACACAUUUUCAUGUAAAUAUUUUGACAAGCUCGUGCAUCAUUGAUCAUUACUUGACACAGAUUGUUCUUUAUUUUGAACUCUCAUUUGAUUGGCUAUAGAGGUAUUCCCCAUAGUGACAUCAUUUGACACUGGUCUGGAGUGUCUUGUAUCAUUGGUUGACUAAAUCAACUGACCAUUGACCUAUUUCUUAAGUUGGGAGAAUUAAGCUUCAAAGCACAUGUUCUGAUGGGACAUAAUAAAGAAGAAAUUGGAUAAGAGAAGUUAGUUUGCAUUGAAAUUAAAUCUUUAGUUCUUCUUUAAACAGGAAUACUUGAACAAUUAUUGCAUAUGAUAAUGCUAUUUAGUUGAAGUAUGAUACUUUAUGAGUUAGACAGUACAAACAAAAACAAAAAUAUUAUAAAUAAUUUAAUUACUAUAAGAUUGUGUCUCUUAAGAUGGAAAUGAUAUUUAACUGAUUUAUCUUGACAUUGACUUGUAGUAAUUAAGGUUAAUUUAAAUAAAACUAAUUAAAUAAUUUAAUUAAACAAUUUUCAUUCAGAUUGCAUUGAUAUUGAAAGCAAGUAGAAAUUAAUAAUAGUUAAAUCAGUAUUUUAAUGUUAGUAAAUAUAAUUAAUUAGAACAAUUAGUAUUAAGACUAUGUGUUACAUGAUAGUUGUUAAAAAUACAUAUUGUAGUUGUGUGCGGUCAAGUUCACAUAUCUGAACUUUUGCAUUUGAAUUGUUUUCUGAAUUAAAUAUUCAUUUUAUUUUAGUUACUCUUUAAUUGAUAAUUUCAAAUUGAUUUAGUUGAUAUCAAUUAAUUUGAAAGCAGUGUCACUUAUUUUGACUUGUUGUUUAAUUUGAACAAUUUGGUAGCAGUUAAUACCUUUGGUUAACAAUUGUGUUUUUUGUGUGUGUAUUGAUUUCUACAUUUGCAUACAUUGUAGUAGAUACUUGUUAACUUCAGUAAAGUUAAAAUUUAGUGAAGCUUAGUACAUUAUUUAAGUGAACUUAGUGCAUUAUUUAAGUGAACUUAGUGCAUUAUUUAAGUGAACUAAGUGAUUUAUUUAAGUGAACUUAGUACAUUAUUUAAGUGAACUUGUUACAUAAUUUAAGUGAACUUAGUGCAUUAGUUAAGUGAAACAAAGUGUAUUAAUUAAGUGAAACUUAUUAUUAAAUUGAAGUUAGUGCAUUAGUUAAAUAAAACAUAGUGCAUUAAUUAAUUGAAAUUAGUGCAUUAAUACAAUAAAACUCAGUGCAUUAUUUAAUAGAACUUAAGUGCAUUAAUUAAGUAAAACUCUUUGCAUAUCCUGAGUACAUUGUGUAUUGAAAUAGAUGAUGAACUAAUAAUGAUUUUUUUUUCAGAUUUAUGUUUGAAUUCUCAUUUAAAUUUUAUUUUAAUUAAUCUCAAAGGUUAAAUGUUUUAAUUAUUUCAGUGAAUGCACUGAUAGUUUUAAGUGAGUUAGAUUGAUUAGAUAGAAGUGUUUAUGUGUAUUUAAGCUGUUUGCAAGUAGAAUUUGUGAAUUUAUGAUCAACAUUAAUCUUUUAACUGUUUCAGACAUUAUGAACAUUGAAUGUGCCAGUGGUUCUAGAUUGCCAUGCUCUGGUUACAUUGAAGUUGAACGAGAUACAACAGAUGGUGUCCCAGAUACUGGACAGCAACCAGCUUUAUUUCUUAUUUCACCUGAUACAACAUUUUCAGAAACAACACCAAUUAUCAUCGGUACUAAUAUACUUUGCGAAUUUCAGAAGCUGUGCCAGAAUAAACAUGGAAACCGAUACCUACAGACGGCAAAAUUAACAUAUCCUUGGUUUACUUCUUUCAGAACUUUAACACACCGAGACAGAUGUCAUCAUAUGACACACACUGACCAGUUGUUACACUUGACUGAGUUUAAACCAGUUUAUUCAAGUGACACUUUCCCUCUAUUUUUAUGCCCCCCUUCGAAGAAGAGGGGGUAUAUUGCUUUGCUCAUGUCGGUCGGUCUGUCUGUCGGUCGGUCUGUCGGUCCGUCCUUCAGGUGGUUGUCAGAUGAUAACUCAAGAACGCUUUGGCCAAUGAUCAUGAUACUUCAUAGGUAGAUUGAUCAUGACUCGCAGAUGACCCCUAUUGAUUUGAGGUCACUAGGUCAAAGGUCAAGGUCACGGUGACCCGAAAUAGUAAAAUGGUUUCCGGAUGAUAACUCAAGAACGCAUACGCCUAGGAUCAUGAAACUUCACUCUUCUGCCUGUUUCUGCCUUAUCUCCUCCCAAGCGGGCCAGAUGGUUGGUUCUACCAUAGGUCCGUCUUGUCUUACAAUCUUCUCCCUGCUUCCGCCUUCUCUGCCCUCCCAAGCGGGCCAGAUGGUUGGUUCUACCAUAGGUCCGUCUUGUCUUACACUCUUCUCCCUGUUUGUGCCUUCUUUCCCGUCCCAAGCGGGCCAGAUGGUUGGUUCUACCAUAGGUCUGUCUUGUCUUACACUCUUCUCCCUGUUCUGCCUUCUCUCCCUCCCAAGCAGGCCAGAUGGUUGGUUCUACCAUAGGUCCGUCUUGUCUUCCUCUCUCAUCCCUGUUUCUGCCUUAUCUCUCCUCCCAAGCGGGCCAGAUGGUUGG